GUCGAACGGCAGCAUAGGAGCUUGCUCCUGAUGGCGAGUGGCGAACGGGUGAGUAAUAUAUCGGAACGUGCCCUAGAGUGGGGGAUAACUAGUCGAAAGACUAGCUAAUACCGCAUACGAUCUACGGAUGAAAGUGGGGGAUCGCAAGACCUCAUGCUCCUGGAGCGGCCGAUAUCUGAUUAGCUAGUUGGUGGGGUAAAAGCUCACCAAGGCGACGAUCAGUAGCUGGUCUGAGAGGACGACCAGCCNNACUGGGACUGAGACACGGCCCAGACUCAUACGGGAGGCAGCAGUGGGGAAUUUUGGACAAUGGGGGCAACCCUGAUCCAGCAAUGCCGCGUNAGUGAAGAAGGCCUUCGGGUUGUAAAGCUCUUUUGUCAGGGAAGAAACGGUUCUGGAUAAUACCUGGAGCUAAUGACGGUACCUGAAGAAUAAGCACCGGCUAACUACGUGCCAGCAGCCGCGGUAAUACGUAGGGUGCAAGCGUUAAUCGGAAUUACUGGGCGU
rnacentral:rRNA from 1 species